UGUAGCUACUUUAAGUUACGAUAAUUACUAUAUUAAUUUAUAAGAUUAUACUAACUCCUUACUAAGUGGUUUACUAUAAUAUUACGGUAAAUAUUCUCAUGUGUUAUAGUAAUCCAACUAUCGUAAAUAUAUAUACAUAUUAUCGUAAAUUAGUAUAUAUAAAAUUAUCCUAAAUAGAGGUGGCUAUA
rnacentral:pre_miRNA from 1 species